rnacentral:rRNA from 1 species
CAAUAGCGUAUAUUAAAGUUGUUGCAGUUAAAAAGCUCGUAGUUGGACCUUGGACCUGGACAGGCGGUCCGCCUCACGGCGAGUACUGUCUUGCUGGUCUUUCCUCUUGGUGAUCUGUUGUUUCGGCAGCAGGGAACCAGGACCUUUACUUUGAAAAAAUUAGAGUGUUCAAAGCAGGCUCGACGCCGGAAUAUAUUAGCAUGGAAUAAUAAAAUAGGACGUGCGGUUCUAUUUUGUUGGUUUUUGGAAUCGCCGUAAUGAUUAAUAGAGACAGUCGGGGGCAUUAGUACUCACAUGCUAGAGGUGAAAUUCUUGGAUUUUGUGAAGACUAACUUCUGCGAAAGCAUUUGCCAAGGAUGUUUUCAUUAA